rnacentral:rRNA from 1 species
GGGCCCGCACAAGCGGUGGAGCAUGUGGUUUAAUUCGAUGCAACGCGAAGAACCUUACCAAGCCUUGACAUCCUCGGAACUUUCCAGAAAUGGAUUGGUGCCCUUCGGGAACCGAGUGACAGGUGCUGCAUGGCUGUCGUCAGCUCGUGUCGUGAGAUGUUGGGUUAAGUCCCGUAACGAGCGCAACCCUUGUCCUUAGUUGCCAGCACUUCGGGUGGGAACUCUAAGGGGACUGCCGGUGAUAAACCGGAGGAAGGUGAGGACGACGUCAAGUCAUCAUGGCCCUUACGAGUAGGGCUACACACGUGCUACAAUGGGGAAUACAGACGGACGCUAAGCCGCGAGGUGGUGCU